rnacentral:rRNA from 1 species
UACGUAGGGUGCAAGCGUUAUCCGGAAUUAUUGGGCGUAAAGAGCUCGUAGGCGGUUUGUCGCGUCUGCUGUGAAAACUGGGGGCUCAACCCCCAGCCUGCAGUGGGUACGGGCAGACUAGAGUGCGGUAGGGGAGAUUGGAAUUCCUGGUGUAGCGGUGGAAUGCGCAGAUAUCAGGAGGAACACCGGUGGCGAAGGCAGAUCGCUGGGCCGUAACUGACGCUGAGGAGCGAAAGCAUGGGGAGCGAACAGG